rnacentral:rRNA from 1 species
AAGUACGGUAAUUACGUGGGACGUAAAGCGCAUGCAGGCGGCCUGUUAAGUCAGAUGUAGAAACGGCCCGGGGACCUUUAACCGUACGGUAAGUUGCUAUUUAGUAAACGUGGCGAGGCUAGAGUCUUGUAGAGGGGGGUAGGAAUUUCAGGUGUAGCGGUGAAAUGCGUAGAGAUCUGAAGGAAUACCAGUGGCGAAGGCGGCCCCCUGGACAAAGACUGACGCUCAGAUGCGAAAGCGUGGGGAGCAAACAGGAUUAGAUACCCUGGUAG